rnacentral:tRNA from 1 species
ACCUGGCUGGCUCAGAAGGUGGAGCGUGAGACUCUUGAUCUCAGGAGCUGUGAGUUUGAGCCCCAUGUUAGGUG